rnacentral:tRNA from 1 species
GGAGGGGUGCCGGAGCGGUUGAACGGGCCCGCCUCGAAAGCGGGUAGGCGGUUAACGCUGCCUCGUGGGUUCGAAUCCCACCUCCUCCGCCA